rnacentral:rRNA from 1 species
UACGGAGGGGGCAAGCGUUGUUCGGAAUUACUGGGCGUAAAGCGUGCGCAGGCGGUUAUGCAAGACAGAUGUGAAAUCCCCGGGCUCAACCUGGGAACUGCAUUUGUGACUGCAUGGCUAGAGUACGGUAGAGGGGGGAUGGAAUUCCGCGUGUAGCAGUGAAAUGCGUAGAUAUGCGGAGGAACACCGAUGGCGAAGGCAAUCCCCUGGACCUGUACUGACGCUCAUGCACGAAAGCGUGGGGAGCAACAGG